UCAAAACUUACCCUCCGAUCGCCUCUUCCUCUUCCGCUUCCGCCCGCCGACGCCGGCCACGUCGCCUCGCCGCGACGUCUCCUUCCUCCCGCUCGCCAAGCAAAAGCCACCGCCCCUGCGGGGGCAAGGUCACGGAACCCAACCCGAGCCCUUUAUCAGCCCGUACCCGGUGCUGGCGCGGGGCCUCUCCCUUUCCCUCCCCUCCGCGUCCAAGCUUCCUUCCCACGACCCGAGGAGAAACCGCAAGCCGUUUGAGGGCGGUCGCGCGUGGGUUUCAAGGUCUGGUCGCGCCUCCUGCGGGCGAAAGGUGGCUUGGCGGCAAUGGGGUGGCGGGCGCGUGCCCCGGCAGUGAUGGGGUGGCGGGCGCGUGCCCUGGCGGUGUUGGUGGUGGCGGCGGCGGCGCUGUGGUGUCUCGCAGCCGCGGCGGCUGGGGCGGCUGGGGAUGCCGAUGCCGGCGGCCUCGAGCGUGCGUUUCCAAUAGUCGAACCAGAUUACGGACACACGAAACUCCGUCUUGCAAAAGAAGGUUUGGAGGCCAUUCAGAGGAUCAAAACUCCAGUAGCUGCUGUCUCUGUCAUUGGUCCAUAUCGAUCUGGCAAAUCUUUUCUUCUCAACCAGCUCCUCUCCCUUUCAUGUGACAAAGGUUUUGGAGUUGGACACAUGCGGGAUACCAAAACAAAAGGUAUAUGGGUUUUGGAUACCCCCAUUGAGGUGGAUAUUGAUGGCUCCAUAGUUUCUGUCCUAUACCUGGACACUGAAGGAUUUGAGAGUGUUGGAAAAUCAAAUGUAUAUGAUGAUAGGAUAUUUGCUCUGGCAACUGUUUUAAGUUCUGUUCUGAUCUACAAUCUUCCUGAGACAAUUCGUGAAGCUGAUAUUUCUAGGCUUUCAUUUGCUGUUGAAAUUGCUGAAGAAUUCUAUGGAAGACUUGUGGAAACCAGAGUCAAGGGGCAAGAUGUCGCUUUUGAGCCAGCAAAACUUCUGUGGCUAAUCCAGAGGGAUUUCCUCCAAGGAAAAUCUGUUCAGCAGAUGGUUGAUGAGGCACUCCAACGGGUGCCUAACAACAAUGGAGACAAAUAUAUUAAUGAGAUCAACCAAAUCAGAGACUCAUUGGCGGUUAUGGGAGAUAACAGUACAGCUUUUAGCUUGCCACAGCCUCAUCUGCAAAGGACACAGUUAUGUGAUCUGGAUGACAAAGAACUUGAUCCGUUGUACUUAAAAAGGAGAGAUCAACUGAAACAAAUUGUUUCAUCCUUGAUAAAACCAAAAGUUGUGCAAGGUAGAACUCUAAAUGGGACGGAGUUUGUAUCCUUCCUAGGGCAGAUAGUUGAGGUUUUGAAUAAAGGUGAAAUUCCAUCAACUGGAUCACUUGUUGAAGUUUUCAAUAAGGCCAUUGUUGAACGUUGCUUGAAGUUGUAUAAUGAAAGAAUGGGCAGAGCAGGUCUGCCAGUAUCAGUGGAUAAACUUCAGCAGUUUCAUGACCUGGCAAAAGAUGAAGCUAGAAGCCUCUUCGACAAGCAGCAUUUCGGUAAACAUCAUGCUGCUCAAUCCACCUCCAAGCUUGAUGAAGAGAUUAUAAAGGUCUUCAGAAACUUUGGUCAAGCUAACGAAUACCAGUCAUCAAAGUUGUGCGAAGCACGAUUCUCAGAGUGCGAAGAUAAAAUGGAACACCUUCAAGUCUUAAAGCUUCCGUCCAUGGCAAAAUUUGAUGCAGGAUUUCUUCUCUGCAAUCAAAGAUUUGAAAUGGAUUGCAUAGGACCAGCCAAGGAAAGUUAUCAACGCCGGAUGUCAAAGGGAAACAGAGCUGUUUGGUGUGCUAUAGUAUAUGUUUCCCCAGUAACAAAACAGAAGUAUCACCUUUUGACUGUAUUUGCUAUCGGACAUUGUUAAACUGAAUCAAGUUCUAUCGUCUAUGCACGCUUCAGAUGCUGGCAAGAUCACGUUCUCUUUUCAUCAAGGAGUACAACAACAAGCUCUUCAACUGGCUGGUGAUAUUCUCCCUGAUCAUGGUUGUCAUCGGGCGCUUUGUGAUCAAGUUCUUCCUGUUGGAGAUUGCUGCCUGGGUGAUGUUUGCCUUCCUGGAGACAUACACGAGGCUUUUCUGGUCCUCGGAGUCCCUGUAUUACAACCCUGUCUGGCAUGUCGUCGUCUCUACCUGGGAAACCAUUGUGUACAACCCUAUUCUUGACCUUGACAGAUGGGCAAUCCCAAUCCUUGCCGUGCUGUCGUUUUUGGCGAUUUAUUGGCGUUGCCUGGGUGGAAGGAAAGGGAUCGCACGGUCGUUGCUGCCUCUGUACAAUGGGUCUUACAGAAGCUCCAAUCGUCCAAGAACAGACUGAUCCACCAAGUACACACAAACAAGAGCGUGUACAUACUUCACCUGUUGGCUGGGCGUGAUUUUAUCAGUGUUCCCAGCCAACAGAUAACAGACUCAUUUAACUCCACAUGGCAAUGCGAAAAUGAGCAUCCUGGAGGCACCCUGUAAGCUUCUGUUGUAAAAUUGUAAAUCCAAACAGAGUAAUUAUGCUCAGAGGUACCCAUCCAGCUCAAUUGCAUUCUUUAUAGUAACAUUAGACUCAGAGUAAAGUGAUGCUGAUGUACGAAAUAUGGCCUUUCUUUUAUUCUUUGAACUGCCUCCCAACAAGAAAUACAGUGAAUUACAUCUAGUCAACCCUCACAGCUCAAAGCAGAUGACCCGUAGCCACUUCAACGCUAUUACGACAACAACAG